rnacentral:rRNA from 1 species
UACGUAGGGGGCAAGCGUUGUCCGGAAUCAUUGGGCGUAAAGAGCGUGUAGGCGGCUCGAUAAGUCUGCUGUGAAAGUCCAGGGCUCAACCCUGGAAGGCCGGUGGAAACUGUCGGGCUAGAGUCCGGAAGAGGCGAGUGGAAUUCCCGGUGUAGCGGUGAAAUGCGUAGAGAUCGUAAGGAAGACCAGUGGCGAAGGCGGGUCUCUGGACAGUUCCUGACACUGAGGCACGAAGGCCAGGGGAGCAAACGGG